CAGGUACUUCUUUCUGUCUCAGUUCUUUUGAAAUCUCUUCCUUCUGGUCAGAGGUGGGCUACCAAGGAGGGAAUAAAAGUACUUUAGAUCAAUGCAAUAGACGUCUUGGAAGGAACUUUUUAAACGUGCUUAAUGAUAUGCUUUUUCCAUCUCUUAUUAGUUCGUUUUACAGAUUCCGAACAACAGAACAAGUAAAACAGCCAAGACCAGACAGGUGGAACGAGAACACCCGGCCCAGGAGGAUUCUCCUACCCUGAACACACAGUGUGCAGCAGACCUGCCCCCCAUCGAACUGGUCACUGACAAAGACAAGCUAUCAACUCAUCUUGGCCGUUCUCCCCAUUUGUCAUCUGUAAUGCUGCUCUCUACUCCAUUACAAAUAGACAAACACACAAAAGAUGAUCCUGCUCCAUUACAAAUAAACGAAAUCACAAAAGAUGAUCCUGUUCCACUGCUCAGGGAAGUUCUAGUCUCCUUCCCAGAGCCUUCAAGCAAGCACGAAAGGUCCUGACCAGCAGCUACAGGUCCCUAGCAAGAGUAAGGAACAGUUCUUGCUCACAGGGAACUCCCCCAAGGCC
rnacentral:lncRNA from 1 species